rnacentral:miRNA from 1 species
GCAGACACAUUCCAGCCAAUCAGCAGCAGACCCUCCCUCCCAGACCCUCCCAACUCCUGGACAGCAUCCAUUUUGAAGCUGCAUUAUUAGUGAGCUGUCCAGGAGGUGGGAGGGUCUGGGAGGGAGGGUCUGCUGCUGAUUGGCUGGAAUGUGUCUG